UGGCCAUUUAGUGUUGAAACACCGAUUCCCAUAUGAUCUCUGAAGUUAAGCAACAUCAAAUCUGGUCAGUACCUAGAUGGGUGACCACUUGGAAAUACCAUGUUCUGUAA